CUAAGGAUGGUUCUUCAGAAGCUUGCUUCUAUCGAACCGUUUUAGAAACAUCAGUGGCCAACGGUCGUCAGGAUCGUUGAGCUGCAUUGGCGGGAUUUCGCCGUCUUCGUUUCUCUUUCUUCGCGGACGAACACGCGCUGGGGCUGCAACCUUGCAGAAUCCCUGGUCCUUGACUGGAUAUGCGUUAGGGGCUUGUAGCUCAGUUGGUUAGAGCGCGCGCUUGAUAAGCGUGAGGUCGGAAGUUCAAGUCUUCCCAGGCCCACCACACUCAUCGAGUGAGCAUUCGUCUUCUGGUUACGGGGCCAUAGCUCAGCUGGGAGAGCGCGUGCUUUGCAAGCAUGAGGUCGUCGGUUCGAUCCCGUCUGGCUCCACCAGAUGGUUUGAUCACCGACUACUCGUACCGUCGUCCGCGAAACAUCACUUCGCACUUACUAGUCCGGAUGGACAGUAAGCUGCGUGAUUUCUGACAUCGUAAAGAGGAGAUCGAUCCGAGUUGGAUCGGGCAACAAGUAAUUGUUGCGCGAUACUCCAUUAUCUCCGGAUCAUUUCGGCGCUCGUGCGUCUUUUAGCGUAGCUCACAAGGCUGCAUUGAAAGACAAGCGAGUUGUAAAUGAUCCUUUUAGCGAAGCUUGACCGCCUCGCUAUCGGAACGAUCUUACGAAGCAAGCUGGUCUUUCUAAUCAUUGUCCGGCUGCAGAUAGCGUUCAUCGAGGGCGCGUGCCGCAAGGUAAUUCUGCAGACAACAUUCUGCCGAGUGUGUGGACAUUGAUAAUGAGAGC
rnacentral:tRNA from 1 species